rnacentral:misc_RNA from 1 species
AACGCGCAUUGCGCCCCUUGGUAUUCCAGAGGGCAUGCCUGUUUGAGCGUCAUCUCUCUCUCAAACCCUUGGGUUUGGUAUUGAGUGAUACUCUUAGUCGAACUAGGCGUUUGCUUGAAAUUUAUUGGCACGAGUGACGCCGAGAAGUGCAUUCAGGAAAUAUCAAUGUAUUAGGUUUAUCCAACUCGUUGACAAUUCUUGGUUGUGAAUUUUUGGUGUUAGGCUUUGCCUUAAGAAACAACAAACAAGUUUGACCCCAAAUCAGGUAGGAUUACCCGCUGAACUUAA